rnacentral:rRNA from 1 species
UACGGGGGGAGCAAGCGUUGUUCGGAUUUACUGGGCGUAAAGGGCGCGUAGGCGGUCGUGACAAGUCACUUGUGAAAUCUCCGGGCUUAACUCGGAACGGUCAAGUGAUACUGUCGGACUAGAGUACAGAAGGGGCAACUGGAAUUCUCGGUGUAGCGGUGAAAUGCGUAGAUAUCGAGAGGAACACCUGCGGCGAAGGCGGGUUGCUGGGCUGAUACUGACGCUGAGGCGCGAAAGCCAGGGGAGCGAUCCGG